rnacentral:rRNA from 1 species
GAAUGCUAAGAGAAUGGAAACCCAGAAAAAAACUUUUUUUAAAUUAAAAAUUGAAAUUUUUUUAAUUUGUGCAGAAACAAUUAUUAAUAUUAAGGACAAGAAGACCCUAUGAAUUUAUAAAAUUCUAUUAAAUAUGUUAUUGCUGUUGUAGAAUUUUUGGCUGGGGCGGCUAAAAAAUAUUUUAAACUUUUUAAAAGUAAAAUGAUCCAUUAUUAAUGAUUACAUGUGAAAUACUCUAGGGAUAACAGCGUUAUAUUUUUUGAUAGAUCAUAUUGACAAAAAAGUUUGCGACCUCGAUGUUGGAUUAGGAUACUUUUUUAAUGCAGAUAUUAAAAAA